rnacentral:rRNA from 1 species
UAUAGUUUAUUUGAUGAUCAUUACUACAUGGAUAACCGUGGUAAUUCUAGAGCUAAUACAUGCACAAGUGCCCGACUUUGCGGAAGGGCUGUAUUUAUUAGAUUAAGAACCAACCCAUGCUUUGCAUGGUAAUUUGGUGAUUCAUAAUAACUGAACGAAUCGCAUGGUUUAUACCGGCGAUAGAUCAUUCAAGUUUCUGACCUAUCAGCUUUCGACGGUACGGUAUUGGCUUACCGUGGCUUUGACGGGUAACGGGGAAUUAGGGUUCGAUUCCGGAGAGGGAGCCUGAGAAACGGCUACCACA